rnacentral:rRNA from 1 species
GAUGAACGCUGGCGGCAGGCUUAACACAUGCAAGUCGAACGCUCGUAGCAAUACGGGAGUGGCGGACGGGUGAGUAACGCGUGGGAACGUGCCCUGAGGUACGGAAUAACUGCGGGAAACUGCAGCUAAUACCGUAUGAGCCCCGUGAGGGGGAAAGAUUUAUCGCCUUAGGAGCGGCCCGCGUCGGAUUAGGUAGUUGGCGGGGUAAAGGCCCACCAAGCCUGCGAUCAGUAACUGGUGUGAGAGCACGACCAGUCACACGGGCACUGAGACACGGGCCCGACUCCUACGGGAGGCAGCAGUAAGGAAUAUUGGUCAAUGGAGGGAACUCUGAACCAGCCAUCCCGCGUGAAGGAUGAAGGGGCUCUGCCUUGUAAACUUCUUUUGCAUGGGACGAAAAAACUUAAUUUAUUAAGGACUGACGGUACCAUGAGAAUAAGCACCGGCUAACUCCGUGCCAGCAGCCCGCGGUAAAUCUCGCGUGA